AUGGCUGUCCUGGUGCUGCUCCUCUCCCUGGUGACCUUUCCAACCUGUGUCCUGUCCCAGGUGCAGCUGAAGGAAUCAGGACCUGGACUGGUGAAGCCCUCGGAGACCUUGUCUCUCACCUGCACUGUCUCUGGGUUCUCAUUAACCAGCUAUGAUGUAAACUGGGUCCGGCAGCCUCCAGGAAAGGGUCUGGAGUGGAUAGAAGCAGUGUGGGCUGGUGGAGCUAUAAAAUACAAUUCAGCUCUCCAACUCCGAGUCAGCAUCAGCAGGGACACCUCCAUGAGCCAAGUUUUCCUAAAACUGAACAGUCUGCAAAUGAGGACACAGCCAUGUAUUACUGUGCCAGACACACACUGAGGAAUUCCUCUGUGAGCCUGCACAAAAUCCUCACUGCAGUGACAUUCAGGUCCAGAAGGGGCUGCUGA